rnacentral:rRNA from 1 species
GCACAAAGAGGGACCUGCGGCUUAAGGGCUAGGUCGGGAAAGCGGGGAGAAAUCCUUUGCUAGUCGGCAGCAUUGCCGGCGACACUGUCAAAUUGCGGGGAAGCCCUAAGCCACCCCUACCAAGUGCGCGGUUACAGCCGGAAAAAUCAAGGGCAUUGACCCCCUAACGGGGCGAGCCGCUUGGGCUAGUACAAGGGGCUACGCACGUCGGGUACGGUAAAAACGGGGUGGAUCAUAAUGGGUUAUCCGCAGCCAAGUCCCAUAAGGCGGAAGCAAACUGGGAUGCAGUUCACAGACUAAAUGGCAGUGGGUGGGCGCGUGGGUGCUGUGCAUCCGCUUUGCCCGCUUAAGAUAUAGUCGGGCCCACCCGAAAGGGUGCCCCUAGAUGAAGCCUUUCGGGGCCCGAGCUAGGGGAGGUCCGGAUCGGCUUCGGCUUAUCCGGGCUGGGAACUACCGUAAUUUGACUCAACACGGGCCAACUCACCGGGGCAAGAUACAAUGAUGAAGGACAGGCAGAAAGACCUUUCUUGAUGAUGUAAGUGGUGGUGCAUGGCCGUUCUUAGUUCGUGGAGUGAUCUGUCUGGUCUAUUCCGAUAACGAGCGAGACCCUAGUCCCUAACUAGGGGCGGCAGCCAGGCUCUUGCUUUCUACCCUACUGAAGGGCGGUUCGCCGUCUGGAGGUGGGGGCGGGGCAUCUGUACCAGCUGUCGCCUAUGAGCGCGAGCUCCUUUUUAGGGAGACCGGGGCCGAAAAGGUCUUUGAAAUGGGGUAAUAACAGGUCAGUGAUGCCCUUAGAUGUUCCGGGCCGCACGCGGGUUACAAUGGCAAGCAAAACGGGCGUACCUCCCGCAAACAUGUCCUUCGGGGCGUGGGGGGGUAGUCCUUCCGCCUAACGGUGAUAGUAAUCCUUAGGGCUUGCCCCGCCUGGGCUAGUCUUUUGGAACUAUUGGUCUUAAACUCGGAAUUUUUAGUAGUCGCGGGUCAUUAACCCGCGACGAAUAUACUG